rnacentral:rRNA from 1 species
UCCUGUACUACCGAUAACCGUUUGAGAGAAGGGAUGACACAGUAGGAUAAGCUAAGCACACUGUUGGUUAUGUGUGCCCAAGCAUUGAGGCAGUCAAAGUAGGCAAAUCCGCUUUGAUAAUGCUGGGAUGUGAUGGGGAGCGAAAUUUAGUAGCGAAGUAGCUGAUUUCACACUGUCAAGAAAAGUCUCUAUCGAGGUUAAAGGUACCCGUACCGCAAACCGACACAGGUGGGUGAGGAGAGUAUCCUAAGGCCAGCGAGAGAACUGUUGUUAAGGAACGCGGCAAAAUGACCCCGUAACUUAGGGAUAAGGGGUGCCACCAUCAGGUGGCAGCAGAGAAUAGGCCCAAGCGACUGUUUACCAAAAACAUAGGUUUCUGCUAAGUCGCAAGACGAUGUAUAGGAGCUGACGCCUGCCCGGUGCUGGAAGGUUAAGGGGAUCUGUUAGAGCAAUCGAAGCAGUGAACUUAAGCCCCAGUAAACGGCGGCCGUAACUAUAACGGUCCUAAGGUAGCGAAAUUCCUUGUCGGGUAAGUUCCGACCCGCACGAAAGGCGUAACGAUUUGGGCACUGUCUCA